rnacentral:lncRNA from 1 species
GGUUCCUGUUUAGGAGUUUUUCUUGAAAGAGUGGAGAAGAUUCUGCUGGUGAGUUUCAGUCUCCAUUUGAUUUAUCUUUAAGAAGAACGCUUGAGUGGGUAGGAAUUUUCUCUGAGUUUCAGUCACCUCUCUCUCAGGCUGUUUGGCCAGGUCUCAGAUGCAUGGCAAUGCCUCUCUUCUUCCAGCGACGUGUUGACUUUUCUCUUGACCUCUUGCCACGUAUUGAACCAAGAAGGAGACUUGGCUAUGAGAGUUUACUAGAUAAAAGUCACACCUGUUUUAAGUAUAGGAUGAACUUGUAAACGUGUCCUCAGAAGUUGCUGUGAGGGUUGGAUAUUGGGCAUUUUCAAAUAUCUCCCAUGACCCUGAGUGAAACUCUUGCAGUUUUUGGUGGAAAUUUUAAAAAGAAGGAAAAAGAAGAAGCUUAUUGUAUGUUAGGAUGGAAUCACACAGAUUUCAUGAUUUCUAAAUAACAUCAUUUUUUCCUCCCUUAAUUUUUUUUUAGAUAUUAUUUCCAAGGAAGUUCCAGAGCUUGACAUGGAAUCAAGUUCUGGAGUCAGACUUAGAUUUAGUUUCUGGUGUGUACACACACACACACACACACACACACACACUAACAGAUGACAGACAAAUUCUGGAGGUACAGCCAUGAUCCCCAACACAUUUCACUCUCACUGUGUCAAGCCUAUGCUGACAGAGAGAUUGUUGGCUCUCCUCCAUGUUCUGUCUCCUACUCCAUGAUUUUUCUUACUUCGUUUCCCUGUUUUAUAGAGAUAUAAUUGCGCUAUAACAUUGUAUUAAAGGUAUAUCAUAUAAUGAUUUGAUAUUUGUGUAUAUUGCAGAAUGACCACUGCAAUAAAUUUAGUUGACAUCCCCCACCUCCCAUGUUUGCAAAUAAUACUGACUGCUUCAGGCAUUAGCAUAUCAUCCCUCUCUGUAUCAUGCUGGUUUUAGUAUAUGCAAUGUUACUUCUUUUCCUUUAUCAUCAUCAUCUUCUUCUUAUUCAUCUGCAUCAUCUUCACCAUCUGUUGGGUGUGGAGAGCCCGUUGCUGGCUUUCUGCACUUGCUCGAUGGAAAAAGACCGUCAGAGAAGGGCUACUCCCUUCAGUUCACUAUUUGCAUUUCUUCCCAUUUUCUCAGCGUCUUAAGAUUUUUCACUCCUUCUUUCUGUCACAUUUAAAAGCUCAUUUAAACGGAUAAUUUGCUGGGCAGCAGUGUUGUACUCCUUUUAUUUUCUUCCUCCAGCUGUUUUUCAGCACCUUGAUGUAUUCUGGAGAACAAAUGAUUAAACCCAAUGAAGCUGUGCUGUAAUGUAACUUUUAUGUUGAAAGAGUGUGCUUACAAAAUCUAAUUAGGACUGUUUUCUAAUUAAAUCAUUUUUCCUUUUCACAGUCAAAGCGGCUAAGGGCAAUGGGAAUAAUUUUUCAUGGAAAAUUAAAACCCAGAGGCAGCAGCAUAAUUUCCUUUACAGGCUCUCGCUGGGCGACAAGAACUUGUCCAUGUCUUUCCAUGACAUCACUGUGGAAGCGACAGGAACGUGAAAUGGCAAGUUCAGGAGCCACUCUGUGUUUGCUGAGCUGUAUGGAAACAGGCAGUGAGAAGCUAGUUAUCUGGGAAUUAGUCGUUUAUAGACACGGUUUUCCCAGAGGACACAUGGGAGGGGAAAUACAGUUUGGGGUUGAAGGAAAAAAAUUUAAAUUCCGUUUCCAAUUGUCAAAAUAAUUCUUAGGGAAGUGACUGAUGCUAAUGGACAUUUUGCUAUUUUGGAUAAGGUUGUUGUUUUUCUUGUUUCCGAUUACGAACUCCUCAUUUUUCUCUGGGCUAUUUUUAGUGCCAUCGAUCAUCGCAAUGUUCUGUACUGCAAAAAUAUGAUCACGAUUCUGGGUUUCACAACUUUUGACCCGGAUGAAUUCGCUUUAGCUCAUUUACUAAGGAAAUACUCUGAAUUUCUGUUAAAGUGUUCUGACUGCAAGGUUUAGGCGAAUGCUGUUGGUAUCCAAGAUAAUGUAUAGCACCUAAAUGCAAGUGAUUUUUUGCAGCACAAAGGCCAGUUAAUUGGGAAGGUUUAUACACUCUCCACCUGGUGGGAAGGGGGAAAUGAAGUGAUAGGUCCUUGGUUCCUUGUUAAGAUAGCAUUGAAUAAUUGAGGGCCAAGCCAGUGCUUAAAUGCACUGAUCCUAUUUUCAUGUGUUUGCAGGGUUUGCGCACUCAGGUCAGAAAUAGAAGAUGCAGUUCUGCAUGUAUCUUUCGACGUACCUCCCACUGCAGUAAUGCUCUUGUCAUGUACUACUCCUUUCUUUAUAUGUUUGAGUCCCCUUUUCCUUAUGAAGGUCCUCUAUCCCACUCCCUAGCACUGAGGCCCCUGAGGUGUGUGCAGAGGGAAGGUAGUUAGCGGAGCACUUCACAGCCUGCACAUGCCCAAACCAGAGGGCAGGCCAUGGGCAGAACCAACUGCCUGUGUCAUUAGAGAAUGAGCUAAUAAAAUGAAACACACUGGGGAGAUCUGAAGGAGCAGAAUUUCAUUAUGGGGAAGCUAAGUUUUGGCACAUAAUAGAAAGGAGGCGUUCCUGCUGUGGCACAGUAGGUUAAGGAUCCAGUAUUGCCACAGCUGUGGCGUAGGUCAUAGCUGCUGCCCAGAUUUGAUCCCUGGUCCAGGAAUUUCCAUAUACCUUGG